rnacentral:rRNA from 1 species
CAGCCGCCGCGGUAAUCCGGAGGGGGCUAGCGUUGUUCGGAAUUACCGGGCGUAAAGCGUGCGUAGGCGGCUUUGUAAGUUAGAGGUGAAAGCCCAGGGCUCAACCCUGGAAUUGCCUUUAAGACUGCAUCGCUUGAACGUCGGAGAGGUGAGUGGAAUUCCGAGUGUAGAGGUGAAAUUCGUAGAUAUUCGGAAGAACACCAGUGGCGAAGGCGACUCACUGGACGACUGUUGACGCUGAGGCACGAAAGCGUGGGGAGCAAACAGGAUUAGAUACCCCCGUAGUCCCUGUCUCUUAUAC